rnacentral:rRNA from 1 species
GACGAACGCUGGCGGCGUGCUUAACACAUGCAAGUCGAGCGGAAAGGCCUGCUUUCCCUUGUGGAUUGCGGGUACUCGAGUGGCGAACGGGUGAGUAACACGUGAGUGAUCUGCCCCCAACUUGGGUAUAAGCCUGGGAAACUGGGUCUAAUUCCCGAUAGGACUGCAGGGUGGUGCCUGUGGUGGAAAACGAUUUUCUAGUGGUUGGGGAUGAGCUCGCGGCCUAUCAGCUUGUUGGUGGGGUAAUGGCCUACCAAGGCGGCGACGGGUAGCCGGCCUGGGAGGGGGGACGGCCACAUUGGGACUGAGAUACGGCCCAGACUCCUACGGGAGGCAGCAGUGGGGAAUAUUGCACAAUGGGCGGAAGCCUGAUGCAGCGACGCCGCGUGGGGGAUGACGGCCUUCGGGUUGUAAACUCCUUUCGACCGCGAGGAAGCCACCUGGUUGGAAGGGUGGUGACGGUAGUGGUAGAAGAAGCACCGGCUAACUACGUG